UUUGAAAGCUUUAUGUUUAAAUGUAAAUUAAAUAUAAAAAAAUUGAAUACAGAUUCAUAUUCAAAAGCUCAGAAUUGAUGAAAAUUGUUAAAAUUGUAAAAGGUCAAAAUGUUGAUUUUUGACAUUAAAAAAUCAAACUUUGACGGAUUUUAUAUUCAAAUGUGAUUUGAACUUUGGAAAAAUGAAUGUGAUUCAUGCUCGGGAGGUUGAAAUUAGUCAAGACAGACAAAAUGGUAAAAAGUCAAAAUGUUGACUUUUAACUUAAAAAAGACAAAGUUUACUUUGAUUUAAAAGAUGAAAAAGGACCAUAUUGCCCUUGAACUAAGUUAGCGGAAAAAUUACAUUAACACUUAGUGGGAUAGAGGACUACAUGAGAUGUAAACACUUAUGUCACGUGGUUAGAAUCUGAAGCUAACCAACCGUGCGGCACUUGGCUUGACUAUGUCGUCCCCGUUAGCCAAGUAAGCCUUAACAAGAGGUUAGUGCACCAAGCACUAUGAAUAACCUCAAUAAUAUGCAGCGGAAGAUGAUUAGUGCACCUAAGGCACUUAGAAAUCACAAUGGGUUGGCAAGAGAGUGAGUGAGAAGUUGAGAGAGCUUAAGAGAACACUUUCUCUUAUUGGUUUCCUUCUUCUUCUUGGUUUACAAAUGAGAGCCCUUACAAGUAUUUAUAACCUUGCCAAACCGACCUAGGGCCUCAUAAGGUCGGCCAAGGAAUAUUCUAGAUGAUGCAAGAGGGUUUAGUACAUUACAAGGAAGCCUAGAACUAAACCCUCUUGUAUCAUCUAGAAUAUUCUAGAGAGGACUAGACCUUUCAUGACACUUCCAGACCGUCAUUGUAGCCUUCUAGCACGUUCUAGCUUUGUCCAGCACGUUCCAGCAUGUUCCAGGGCCUUCUCGGGUGUGUCCAGACCAUUCUGGUGCAUUCUGGCACUGUCUCGGGUGUUCUAGAAGCUUCUGGGGCUGUCUAGACCGAGCAUGGGCGGAGCAGCACGCACAGGGGCGUGUCUGGGGCCUUCUGGAAGCAUCU
rnacentral:lncRNA from 1 species